AGAGUUUGAUCCUGGCUCAGGAUGAACGCUAGCGGCAGGCUUAACACAUGCAAGUCGAGGGGUAACAGGUUUUAGUUUACUAGAAUGCUGACGACCGGCGCACGGGUGAGUAACGCGUAUACAAUUUACCUUUUACAGGAGAAUAGCCCAGAGAAAUUUGGAUUAAUGCUCCAUGGUAUUAUUUGAUCACCUGAUCGAGUAAUUAAAGCUUCGGCGGUAAAAGAUGAGUAUGCGUCCUAUUAGCUGGAUGGUAAGGUAACGGCUUACCAUGGCGACGAUAGGUAGGGGUCCUGAGAGGGAGAUCCCCCACACUGGUACUGAGACACGGACCAGACUCCUACGGGAGGCAGCAGUGAGGAAUAUUGGGCAAUGGAGGCAACUCUGACCCAGCCAUGCCGCGUGCAGGAAGACGGCCCUAUGGGUUGUAAACUGCUUUUAUAUAGGAAGAAACUUAUCCACGUGUGGAUAACUGACGGUACUAUAAGAAUAAGCACCGGCUAACUCCGUGCCAGCAGCCGCGGUAAUACGGAGGGUGCAAGCGUUAUCCGGAAUCAUUGGGUUUAAAGGGUCCGUAGGCGGGCAAUUAAGUCAGAGGUGAAAUCCCACAGCUCAACUGUGGAACUGCCUUUGAUACUGGUUGUCUUGAGUUUAGUUGAAGUAGGCGGAAUGUAGCAUGUAGCGGUGAAAUGCAUAGAUAUGCUACAGAACACCGAUUGCGAAGGCAGCUUACUAAGCUAAAACUGACGCUCAGGCACGAAAGCGUGGGGAUCAAACAGGAUUAGAUACCCUGGUAGUCCACGCUGUAAACGAUGAUCACUCGUUGUUGGCGAUACACAGUCAGCGACUGAACGAAAGUAUUAAGUGAUCCACCUGGGAAGUACGAUCGCAAGGUUGAAACUCAAAGGAAUUGACGGGGGCCCGCACAAGCGGAGGAGCAUGUGGUUUAAUUCGAUGAUACGCGAGGAACCUUACCUGGGCUCAAACGUAGAGUGACCAUCUGCGAAAGCAGAUUUUCCUUCGGGACAGUCUACGAGGUGCUGCAUGGUUGUCGUCAGCUCGUGCCGUGAGGUGUCGGGUUAAGUCCCAUAACGAGCGCAACCCCUAUUCUUAGUUGCCAUCAGGUAAUGCUGGGGACUCUAAGAAAACUGCCUACGCAAGUAGUGAGGAAGGUGGGGAUGACGUCAAAUCAGCACGGCCCUUACGUCCAGGGCUACACACGUGCUACAAUGGUCGAUACAGAGGGCAGCUACCAUGUGAAUGGAUGCAAAUCUCGAAAAUCGAUCUCAGUUCGGAUCGAAGUCUGCAACUCGACUUCGUGAAGUUGGAUUCGCUAGUAAUCGCGCAUCAGCCAUGGCGCGGUGAAUACGUUCCCGGGCCUUGUACACACCGCCCGUCAAGCCAUGGAAGCUGGGGGUACCUGAAGUUCGUGACCGCAAGGAGCGACCUAGGGUAAAACUAGUAACUAGGGCUAAGUCGGAACAAGGUAGCC
rnacentral:rRNA from 1 species